GCGCCAAUAGCUCAACUGGAUAGAGCGUUAGACUACGGAUCUAAAGGUUGUGGGUUCGACUCCUGUUUGGCGCGCCA
rnacentral:tRNA from 1 species